UGCGUAGGCGGCUGGGUAAGUCGCGUGUGAAAGCCCGGGGCUCAACCCCGGAGCUGCAUGCGAGACUGCCUGGCUCGAGCACGGUAGAGGCGGGCGGAAUUCCUGGUGUAGCGGUGGAAUGCGUAGAUAUCAGGAAGAACACCGGUGGCGAAGGCGGCUCGCUGGGCCGUUGCUGACGCUGAGGCACGAAAGCGUGGGGAGCAAACAGGAUUAGAUACCCUGGUAGUCCACGCCCUAAACGAUGGACACUAGGCGUCGGGGGGAGCGACCCUCCCGGUGCCGUCGCUAACGCAAUAAGUGUCCCGCCUGGGGAGUACGGCCGCAAGGCUGAA
rnacentral:rRNA from 1 species